rnacentral:lncRNA from 1 species
AGGUGUGAGCCACCGUGCCCAGCCUCCUUUUUAUUUAAAUGUCUCAAAACAAUUAUUUGAGAAUUUCUAAUAGGCAAUGCUGUAUCCACUGCCUACAACUUACUUAUGUAGCAAGCGUCCAUAUGGUGCUCACUGUGUCCACAUACUGUUUUAAGUAAAUCAUUUAACUAACCAUAUAGGCACUAUCUUCAAUCUCCAUUUAUAGAUUUGGACAUCAAGUUAAAGAGAGAAGUUAAGUAACUUGUCCUAGGUUACAAUGCAGGGAAGAUUUGUUCCCUCUAUACUAGAUGAAGGAUGUGGGAGAGGAGGCGGGACUGGAGUUAGGUGAUAUUAUAUAUUGAAGUAACAGCUCUGUUUAAGUAAUUCUUCCCAGGAAAUUAACCAUGAGAGCAUAAAGGCCUUAGCAUUUGACAUCUAUUAUGUAGCUCCAAGCUUUCUACCUUAUCUGUCACUCCCACCGCUCCUCCACCCUAACCUUCAACCAGAAAUUUAGCCCCCAAAUAUACCUUGGAAUUUUCCAACUCUGUGCUUUGCUCCUUUGGCCCCACCCUGACCACUUUCUCCAAAAGCAAAAGUAGAGUGACAUACCUUUCAAAGUCCACCAAGUUUACUUUGUUUAUAAAGCCUUCCUACUUCUCCAUGUACCACUCCCUUGACCUCUGGCAGAAUCAGCUGCUUUCUCCAUCAGGCUUCCUUAGCUCUUGUAUUCUGUGCAGUUUUUCCACAUCAUUUAAAAUUAGCUGUUUAUAAAAUAUGUCUUCCACAUUUGCUUGCAAGCUCCUUGAGGGCCUAACCUGAUUUUCUGCUUACAGGUGGACCCAGAUGCACAUAACUUGCAAAGAAAUUGUCUGAAAGGAGGUGGCCGUCAGUCAGAGUGAAGAAGGUACCCUUUUCAGACUGUUACAUGAAUUUUAAAUUCCAACACUUUGGGCAGCUGAGGUGGGAGGAUCACUUGAACCCAGAAGUUCAAGACCAGCCUGGGCAACAUAGCGAGACUCCAUCUCUGAAAAAGAAAAAAAAAUUAGUGGGACAUGGUGGCGUGCACCUGUAGUCCCAGCUAGUCAGGAGGCUGAGGCAAAAUAAUCACUUGAGCCCAGGAGGUCAAGACCGCAGGGCGUCAUGAUUGUGCAAUGCAGUCCAGCCUGAGCAACAGAAUGAGACCCUGUCUGAAAACAAACCAACCAACCACUUCUAGAAGCACUUGCAUAUAGUGAAGAAUUCAUAAUUGAGUGGCAGAGAGACAGAUUAUGAGGCAUCCUUCCUGAUGGAGUGUUUUAUAGGAAAGGUAAUGUGGCUCUGGAACUAGCGGCUGUAGGGGCUGGCUUCCGGAUCCUGGCAUCAACAGCAUGUUUUGAUAGCCCAGGUCUAUAAAGUGGAUUUGUGAGUCACUCCUGAAGCUCAGCCUGUACACUGUUUCUUUUUUCUUUUUUUUUUUUUUUGAGAUGGAGUCUCUCUCUGCCGCCCAGGCAGGAGUAUAGUGGCACGAUCUUGGCUCACUGCAACCUCCGCCUCCCGGGUUCAAGCAAUUCUCCUGCCUCAGCCUCCUGGGUAGCUGGGACUACAGGCGAGGGCCACC